UUGUUUGAUGGGCUGGAAUUGUUGUUGUUGGGCCUCUGAGAGCACGCUCAUGUGAUCAUCUGUUUCCGUUACCGCCUUACCGGGAAAACGAAUCCCCCAAUCUCCGACGAUCGCUCCACCUCCUAAAUCUGUCGCCAUCUCCGUCUCCGGAGAGAACCUCCAACAUCAUGACUCCUGAAGCCGCUAACUCCUUCGAAUCGCCUCCGUUUCUCUCUGUUUCUACGGGAAGAAAGAACCAGGGCAUCAUCAUCUCGAAGAAGAGAAUUGAAAUCAGAGAAAUUGCGUCUUUAGACUCGAGGAGAUAACAGGAAACGAGGUAUAUUUAUAAAACUUAUAUGUUUAAGAAUUGAGACUCAAGUUCCCUUUUUUUCUUCCCAAAGUUUCCUUUUUUCCUUUUCACUUAGGGUUUGUUUAAGUCCAGACUCCAGA